rnacentral:tRNA from 1 species
CGGGGUGUAGCGCAGCUGGUAGCGCGCUGCGUUCGGGACGCAGAGGCCGCGAGUUCAAGUCUCGCCACUCCGACCA